rnacentral:lncRNA from 1 species
CCUUUCUUUCUUACAACCCAUCUUGAUUUUAGGACAAGACUUUGGGAUUUAAGACAAAGCCUAAUCAGAUCCAAACAAGAUUUGAGAAGGUCCUAAAAAAGGAGAUUCAGAUGUCCAGAGGAGAUUUGAAGAGGGUCGAGUCAGGUUCUUAAAAAAAUCUGAUUGGUACAAGGCUAGUCGAGUUCUAGGAGCUAGAACUCUUGAAGCA